AAGUGAAAAUAAGAGAAUGCUGGCAUCCACAUAAUGAUUGGGACAUGUCCAAGGAACAGAAAAGUGAACAGGAUGACCUGAGGAAGACUUCUUACUUCAUCCGAGGAAGACUCCUUACUUCAUCAGGAUGACCACCAGAGGGGGGCUGCGCAAGCGCAGAAGAGGCUGAUGUUGUAAUAGACUGAUGUGGCAAUCCUUGAUGCAUAUGUAUUAGUCAAUGAUGUAAUCUGUGUUGAAUAUGUAUUAGUGACGACAUUUUUAGUGUAUAAAUUGCGAGCGCAAUGUAACGGGGUUGAAGCCAGAUUUGGGCGUGUGCCCCUGGUUUCCCAGCGCUGCAAUAAAGCACCUCAUAUAACCAUUCCGGUGGUUAUGUGUCAGUUCUUACGCUAACAUUUUGGCGACCCAGAUGGGACCUCGCGGGCAUUGCUGAGGUGGAUUGCGUUUCGAUCUUGCUCCAGCCAGCACCAAGAAAUUCUCGGGGAGCCAUCGACCGUGACCGACCUCUGCUGCUCACGACGGACCUCUGACACGGAGCAGGAAACUGUUUGCAUUUGAAUGAGAAAAUCCACAGAAUGGACGGAAAACACAAUUGACAUGGAUCAGACUUCCACAAGGAUUCAAGAACAAUCCGACUCUAUUUGGAAACCAACUGGCCAAGGAAUUGGAAGCAUGGACCACCCAAGGGAAAAUACAGGUACCGAGAUCACAAUACCUUUUGUUACAAUAUGUAGAUGACAUCUUUAUUGCAACAGAACA